rnacentral:lncRNA from 1 species
UAUACCAAUGGAUCAACCUAGGGUUGCUAGUUCUCCAUGAGAAUGUAGCAGCCUUUCUUUUCUAUUUUUUUGUGUGAAAUCCGAAUUCCCCUGAAACCCUAGCUGUGUUUUUGCUUAAGUACUCAGAGAAAAUUGGGCUUAAAAAGCUACGGGUCGAAAAACAUAAGUUUGACCCGAAAUUACAUUAUUUUCAUAAAGUCUGGAACAUAAACGUAAAUAUUUGACACACUUUCGCUCCGAACUGGGUUUUGGCCUCAACAUGAAAGUUGUAGCUAUUGAUCUCAGCUUUCCAACGCAUCUUCC